rnacentral:rRNA from 1 species
GAUGAACGCUGGCGGCGUGCCUAAUACAUGCAAGUCGAGCGAACGGACGAGAAUUUUGCUUUUCUGAUGUUAGCGGCGGACGGGUGAGUAACACGUGGAUAACCUAUCUAUAAGACUGGGAUCACUUCGGGAAACCUGAGCUAAUACCGGAUAAUAUUUUGAACCGCAUGGUUCAAAAGUGAAAGACGGUCUUGCUGUCACUUAUAGAUGGAUCCGCGCUGCAUUAGCUAGUUGGUAAGGUAACGGCUUACCAAGGCAACGAUGCAUAGCCGACCUGAGAGGAUGAUCGGCCACACUGGAACUGAGACACGGUCCAGACUCCUACGGGAGGCAGCAGUAGGGAAUCUUCGGCAAUGGGCGAAAGCCUGACGGAGCAACGCCGCGUGAGUGAUGAAGGUCUUCGGAUCGUAAAACUCUGUUAUUAGGGAAGAACAUAUGUGUGAGUAACUGUGCACAUCUUGACGGUACCUAAUCAGAAAGCCACGGCUAACUACGUG